rnacentral:rRNA from 1 species
AUACGGAGGGUGCAAGCGUUAAUCGGAAUUACUAGGCGUAAAGCGUGCGUAGGUGGUUUGUUAAGUCAGAUGUGAAAGCCCCGGGCUCAACCUGGGAACUGCAUUUGAAACUGGCAUACUAGAGUAUAGGAGAGGAAAGUGGAAUUUCAGGUGUAGCGGUGAAAUGCGUAGAUAUCUGAAGGAACAUCAAUGGCGAAGGCAGCUUUCUGGACUAAUACUGACACUGAGGUACGAAAGCGUGGGUAGCAAACAGGAUUAGAAACCCUAGUAGUCC